rnacentral:rRNA from 1 species
CAGUCGCCGCGGUAAUACGAAGGGGGCUAGCGUUGCUCGGAAUGACUGGGCGUAAAGGGCGCGUAGGCGGAUUGUUUAGUUAGGCGUGAAAUUCCUGGGCUUAACCUGGGGACUGCGCUUAAUACAGGCAGUCUAGAGUGAGGAAGAGGGUUGUGGAAUUCCCAGUGUAGAGGUGAAAUUCGUAGAUAUUGGGAAGAACACCGGUGGCGAAGGCGGCAACCUGGUCCUUGACUGACGCUGAGGCGCGAAAGCGUGGGGAGCAAACAGGAUUAGAUACCCCUGUAGUCCCUGUCUCUUAUAA